GCAUAUCAAUAAGCGGAGGAAAAGAAACUAACUAGGAUUCCCUUAGUAACGGCGAGUGAACCGGGAUGAGCUCAAAUUUGAAAUCUGGCGUCUUUCAGGCGUCCGAGUUGUAAUCUAUAGAGGCGUUUUCCGCGCCGGACCGCGUCCAAGUCUCUUGGAAUAGAGUAUCAAAGAGGGUGACAAUCCCGUACUUGACGCGACAACCGGUGCUCUGUGAUACGUUCUCAAUGAGUCGAGUUGUUUGGGAAUGCAGCUCUAAAUGGGUGGUAAAUUCCAUCUAAGGCUAAAUAUUGGCGAGAGACCGAUAGCGAACAAGUACCGUGAGGGAAAGAUGAAAAGCACUUUGGAAAGAGAGUUAAACAGCACGUGAAAUUGUUAAAAGGGAAACGAUUGAAGUCAGUCGUGUGAGGGGUAUUCAGCCGUCUCUGGCGGUGUAUUUGCCUCUCACGGGUCAACAUCAGUUUGAUCCGGUAGAAAAAGGCGGGAGGAAGGUGGCACCCUCGGGUGUGUUAUAGCCUCCUGUCAUAUGUGCCGGACCAGACUGAGGAACGCAGCUUGCAGCAAUGCCGGGAUUCGUCCACGUACAAGCUAGGAUGUGACAU
rnacentral:rRNA from 1 species